rnacentral:SRP_RNA from 1 species
CCGCGCUAGUCGGGGAGUCAGCGGUGCCCUAUAACCUGCAACCCGCUACAGCAGGGAUGAAGUCCGUCCCGAGGAUCGCGUCUGUGUCGUUACGCCCCCGGUAAGUGGUGUUGACGAACCGGUCCCGCGCAACGGUUGCCCGUGAAAUAUGUCAGGCGGGGAACCGAGCAGCAUUAAGCGGUGUCAAUCGUGUGCCGCGGGGCAGCCGUUUCCGAGCCGGCUGCCGGGACAGCAGGCAUAGACGUGUUUUCAGAGGCGGUGCGCGG